GAGUUUUUCACUGAACUUUACACUGCCAUUGAAUACAACUUCCUCUCCAGUUGCCACGAGUGCCAAAGCCACAGUAAGUGUCCACUCCCGUGACCAAGCCUUGGUUCUGUCAUCCAUAACAUGAGGGCACAGUGCCCUAUCUCUUGCAUUUAUUUUGAGGAUUAAAGUUUGACGUGUGAGCUGUCCUCAAGCCCGGGACUAGACUCAAUCAUUAUUCCCAUGACCACCCCUGUUCAAAAACAUCAGAGAGACAGUGAAAUCACAGGCCCUGAGGCUGGAGAGAGGGCUCGGCAGUGAAGAACGCUUACCUAAGAGCCCUGUUCAGUUCCCAGCACACACAUGGUAACUCACAACUGCCCGUAACCUUGUUCUUGAGUCUCUGAUGCUCUCUUCUAGCCUCCGAAGGUUCCUGCAUGCAUAAAGUGCACAUACAC
rnacentral:lncRNA from 1 species